ACUGCAGGCCGGCCUGUCGCGUCCUAUGUAAAUGGGAUGAGGAAAGUCCGGAUAACACAGAGCGCCACACCACCUAACAGGUGGCGGCCCUUCGGGGUCAGAGAGAGUGCCACAGAAAAUUACAGCCUUGCCUGGCAGGGUGAUGGUGAAAACGUGGGGUAAGAGCCCACGAUGCAGUCUGGUAACAGGGUGCAUGGGUAAACCUUGUGGGUUACAAUGUCAAAUAUACCGGAGUAACAAGGAGGGUGGCUCGCCCGAAUCUUCGGUGGGUAGACAGCAAGAUCCUGCAUGCGAAUGCAGGACCAGAUAAAUGACAGGAC
rfam:Sphingobacteriales bacterium BACL12 MAG-120813-bin55 contig02546, whole genome shotgun sequence.